rnacentral:rRNA from 1 species
GCGAACGCUGGCGGCAGGCUUAACACAUGCAAGUCGAGCGGGCACUUUCGGGUGUCAGCGGCGGACGGGUGAGUAACGCGUGGGAACGUGCCCUCUGGUUCGGAAUAACUCAGGGAAACUUGAGCUAAUACCGGAUACGCCCUUUUGGGGAAAGGCUUGCUGCCGGAGGAUCGGCCCGCGUCUGAUUAGCUAGUUGGUGAGGUAACGGCUCACCAAGGCGACGAUCAGUAGCUGGUCUGAGAGGAUGAUCAGCCACACUGGGACUGAGACACGGCACAGACUCCUACGGGAGGCAGCAGUGGGGAAUAUUGGAAAAUGGGCGCAAGCCUGAGCCAGCCAUGCCGAGUGAGUGAUCAAGGCCUUAGGGUUGUAAAGCUCUUUUAUCCGGGACGAUAAUGACGGAACCGGAGGAAUAAGCCACGGCUAACUUCGUG